GCCGAGGUGGCGUCAUGAAACCGGUGACGUUACAUGUUUGUAUGGACGACCGGCGGCGUACUGGAACGUCACAGCCAAACGCGAGAUAGCAAAGCUGGCCCAGGGGACGAAGAUUAGGAGAGCCAAGAUACUGGCAACAUCGAUUGUCUCUCUCAUCCCGGGGGCGGCCCGCCAGUUUGCUCCUGUGAUGACAUUCAACCAGCGGAAAAUACUUCUAAAUGCAGGAAGGAGCAACAUUUUCUCUCUCCUGGGCCUACUUGGAUCGUACAAGCUACAAAGGAUUGCCAACAACAGACUGCAGCUACAAGAGGCGAGCGGCGUCUUCAGGGAGGUGACAGAGACCGCCGCUGGUUCAUUUGAUUUUAGCCUUCUGCCAGCGUCGCGGGAAAGGCUGUCAUAUCAGCCGAGUGACGCAUAUGAAAGAAGGCUCAUUUUGAAAGCUCCCCUGGCCUCGUGUUGUACAGGACCAAAAGCGAAAUAAUGGAGGACAAUGCGUUUGUUAUGUGCACUGAUUUUGAGGAAUUCAUGUCAGUGAUAUCUAACUUUGGAACUACAAAUGCACCUUUAAGAAUUUACAGUUGAAAUGAUGUAAUGGUAGGCCAGGAAGUGCAAGGCAGAAACAGGAAGUGAGGGAGGUUUUAUGUCUGACACGCAGUGAUGUGCCAGCAUGUGCAAGUGACAGCAAGUGUCAUGUCAAUUAGUUACAUUUAAAACUAAGC